UGGGCUGGUAAUUACAUUCUUCAUGCAUUAAAAUUUUAUGAUUUCAUGUUUUGUUUUCCUCUCUACUUUUUGUCAUAGUAAAUAUGUAGUGUUAGGUAAGGCACAGCCCUAUCAAGGUCUGCUCCAGUGCUACUCGAGUGUCCUAGGAAGGAAUCAGCACUCACAGAAACUGCCAGAGUACUGGCGGUUCUGCACACUGUUUCACCCAGUCCUCGGCACACGGAGGCACCUCACAAGGGGCAGAGCAAACAGGGAGGAAGCGGCUGGACCCGAGCCACCUAACUGUGAAGUCACAGAGCAGCAAAGCAGUGCAGGCAUGUCACCUAGUUACCAUGGGCAUGGCCCAAGCCCUGAGGCUGCUAGUAAGAGAAAAGGACUAUUUGAUCUUAAAGCAAGAACUAUGAAGAGAAGGUGAAGAAAGGAAGGAAAAUUCAUGAUAAUUCAUCAUAUAUCAUAAGACACCAGCUUCUGAACAAGAGAACCAUGCCAGUCACUGUGACUCUAGACAGAGAACGAAGAAGUCCUCUACGAGCCCCAUGGGUUUACAGAAGUCUGUCAAUCUCUCUGUCCAUCUUCCGGAUCAUUAUUCAAGUCGCUAUCCCCAGUUUCGCUAGAUAUGGAAGAUCUAGUCCAGCUCCAGCUCUGUAGAUGACUUUUCUUCCUAAUGGAUUAGGAAUUGGUUCCCUUUAAAUUAUCUUUGAGCUGAUCUGCUGCUCAAAAAAGCAGUAGGAAUGUCACCACCACCCGUGUUUGUUUUGUGUAUGUGUUUAUAUCUCUACCUCACCACCCUUGUAUUAUGAUUGCCACACGAGAACUUAAAACUGUCCGUGGAACUGUUAGCAAAACUUAA